rnacentral:rRNA from 1 species
GAUGAACGCUGGCGGCGUGCCUAAUACAUGCAAGUCGAGCGAACGGACGAGAAGCUUGCUUCUCUGAUGUUAGCGGCGGACGGGUGAGUAACACGUGGAUAACCUACCUAUAAGACUGGGAUAACUUCGGGAAAACGGAGCUAAUACCGGAUGAUAUUUUGAACCGCAUGGUUCAAAAGUGAAAGACGGUCUUGCUGUCACUUAUAGAUGGAUCCGCGCUGCAUUAGCUAGUUGGUAAGGUAACGGCUUACCAAGGCAACGAUGCAUAGCCGACCUGAGAGGGUGAUCGGCCACACUGGAACUGAGACACGGUCCAGACUCCUACGGGAGGCAGCAGUAGGGAAUCUUCCGCAAUGGGCGAAAGCCUGACGGAGCAACGCCGCGUGAGUGAUGAAGGUCUUCGGAUCGUAAAACUCUGUUAUUAGGGAAGAACAUAUGUGUAAGUAACUGUGCACAUCUUGACGGUACCUAAUCAGAAAGCCACGGCUAACUACGUG